GCAAGUCGAGCGAGCGGAACUAACAGAUUUACCUCGGUAAUGACGUUAGGAAAGCGAGCGGCGGAUGGGUGAGUAACACGUGGGGAACCUGCCCCAUAGUCUGGGAUACCACUUGGAAACAGGUGCUAAUACCGGAUAAGAAAGCAGAUCGCAUGAUCAGCUUUUAAAAGGCGGCGUAAGCUGUCGCUAUGGGAUGGCCCCGCGGUGCAUUAGCUAGUUGGUAAGGUAAAGGCUUACCAAGGCGAUGAUGCAUAGCCGAGUUGAGAGACUGAUCGGCCACAUUGGGACUGAGACACGGCCCAAACUCCUACGGGAGGCAGCAGUAGGGAAUCUUCCACAAUGGACGCAAGUCUGAUGGAGCAACGCCGCGUGAGUGAAGAAGGUUUUCGGAUCGUAAAGCUCUGUUGUUGGUGAAGAAGGAUAGAGGUAGUAACUGGCCUUUAUUUGACGGUAAUCAACCAGAAAGUCACGGCUAACUACGUGCCAGCAGCCGCGGUAAUACGUAGGUGGCAAGCGUUGUCCGGAUUUAUUGGGCGUAAAGCGAGCGCAGGCGGAAGAAUAAGUCUGAUGUGAAAGCCCUCGGCUUAACCGAGGAACUGCAUCGGAAACUGUUUUUCUUGAGUGCAGAAGAGGAGAGUGGAACUCCAUGUGUAGCGGUGGAAUGCGUAGAUAUAUGGAAGAACACCAGUGGCGAAGGCGGCUCUCUGGUCUGCAACUGACGCUGAGGCUCGAAAGCAUGGGUAGCGAACAGGAUUAGAUACCCUGGUAGUCCAUGCCGUAAACGAUGAGUGCUAAGUGUUGGGAGGUUUCCGCCUCUCAGUGCUGCAGCUAACGCAUUAAGCACUCCGCCUGGGGAGUACGACCGCAAGGUUGAAACUCAAAGGAAUUGACGGGG
rnacentral:rRNA from 1 species